CCCUUAGAUGUUCUGGGCCGCACGCGCGCUACACUGACAGAGCCAGCGAGUUCUCUUUCCUUGGCUGAAAAGUCAUGGGUAAUCUUGUGAAACUCUGUCGUGCUGGGGAUAGAGCAUUGCAAUUAUUGAUCUUGAACGAGGAAUUCCUAGUAAACGCGAGUCAUCAGCUCGCAUUGAUUACGUCCCUGCCCUUUGUACACACCGCCCGUCGCACCUACCGAUUGAAUGUUUCGGUGAAGAUUCCGGAUAGGACCUUUUUGAUUUAUUUCAAUUUUGUCUUAAAAGCUAUCUAAACCUCAACAUUUAGAGGAAGGUGAAGUCGUAACA
rnacentral:rRNA from 1 species